GCCUUCUCUUGAGCUCCUGUAAAUCUUCCUCAUGAUAGUACUUGGAUUCGCACAAGAAGUAGAGCCAGUGCAGUUAGAACAGGCCUGCCCACCUACGUGGGUGUUGCCUAUGUCUGCUGUGCAACAAUU
ensembl:snoRNA SNORA75 Small nucleolar RNA SNORA75